rnacentral:rRNA from 1 species
CAGCCGCCACGGUAAUACGAAGGGUGCAAGCGUUAAUCGGAAUUACUGGGCGUAAAGCGUGCGUAGGCGGUGAGUUAAGUCUGCUGUGAAAUCCCCGGGCUCAACCUGGGAAUGGCAGUGGAUACUGGCUCGCUAGAGUGUGUCAGAGGAUGGUGGAAUUCCCGGUGUAGCGGUGAAAUGCGUAGAGAUCGGGAGGAACAUCAGUGGCGAAGGCGGCCAUCUGGGACAACACUGACGCUGAGGCACGAAAGCGUGGGGAGCAAACAGGUUUAGAUACCCCAGUAGUCCCUGUCUCUUAUAC